rnacentral:rRNA from 1 species
GCCUACGGGAGGCAGCAGUGGGGAAUAUUGGACAAUGGGCGAAAGCCUGAUCCAGCCAUGCCGCGUGUGUGAAGAAGGUCUUCGGAUUGUAAAGCACUUUAAGUUGGGAGGAAGGGCAUUAACCUAAUACG